UACCGAGGGUGCGAGCGUUGUCCGGAAUCACUGGGCGUAAAGGGCGCGUAGGUGGUGGCUUAGGCGUGCGGUGAAAGCUCGGGGCUCAACCCCGAGUCGGCCGUGCGAACUGGGCUCACUGGAGCAUAGUAGAGGCAGGUGGAAUUCCGGGUGUAGCGGUGGAAUGCGUAGAGAUCCGGAAGAACACCGGUGGCGAAGGCGGCCUGCUGGGCUAUGGCUGACACUGAGGCGCGACAGCGUGGGGAGCAAACAGG
rnacentral:rRNA from 1 species